rnacentral:rRNA from 1 species
GAGCACGUAGGUGGGUUUGUAAGUCGGUUGUGAAAGCCUUCCGCUCAACGGAAGAACAGCAUCCGAUACUGCAUGGCUUGAGUGCGGGAGGGGAGAGUGGAACUUCUGGUGGAGCGGUGAAAUGCGUAGAUAUCAGAAGGAACGCCGGCGGCGAAAGCGACUCUCUGGCCCGCAACUGACGCUGAGUGUGCGAAAGCUAGGGGAGCAAACGGGAUUAGAUACCCCGGUAGUCCUAGCCGUAAACGAUGGGCACUAAGUAGAGGGGUUUU